CAGUAGCCACGGUAAUACGGAGGGUGCAAGCGUUAAUCGGAAUUACUGGGCGUAAAGCGCACGCAGGCGGUCUGUCAAGUCAGAUGUGAAAUCCCCGGGCUUAACCUGGGAACUGCAUUUGAAACUGGCAGGCUAGAGUCUUGUAGAGGGGGGUAGAAUUCCAGGUGUAGCGGUGAAAUGCGUAGAGAUCUGGAGGAAUACCGGUGGCGAAGGCGGCCCCCUGGACAAAGACUGACGCUCAGGUGCGAAAGCGUGGGGAGCAAACAGGAUUAGAUACCCCGGUAGUCCCUGUCUCUUAUAA
rnacentral:rRNA from 1 species